AACGAACGCUGGCGGCAUGCCUAACACAUGCAAGUCGAACGAAGGCUUCGGCCUUAGUGGCGCACGGGUGCGUAACGCGUGGGAAUCUGCCCUUUGGUUCGGAAUAACAGCUGGAAACGGCUGCUAAUACCGGAUGAUGACGAAAGUCCAAAGAUUUAUCGCCAGAGGAUGAGCCCGCGUUGGAUUAGGUAGUUGGUGGGGUAAAGGCCUACCAAGCCGACGAUCCAUAGCUGGUCUGAGAGGAUGAUCAGCCACACUGGGACUGAGACACGGCCCAGACUCCUACGGGAGGCAGCAGUGGGGAAUAUUGGACAAUGGGCGCAAGCCUGAUACAGCAAUGCCGCGUGAGUGAUUAAGGCCCUAGGGUUGUAAAGCUCUUUUACCCGGGAAGAUAAUGACUGUACCGGGAGAAUAAGCCCCGGCUAACUCCGUG
rnacentral:rRNA from 1 species